rnacentral:misc_RNA from 1 species
GCGGUGUUCAUUUUGAAUACCAUAUUGGUGGAUAUAUCCCCUUUUUUACACAUCAAUAAUUGUGAUAUCUCUUCCCUUGCUUCCCAUGUAUAAUUAGCUCUCUAAGUGAAUCCUCAAUGAUGCUUACAUGGAGUUUUUGAAGUCUGCAAGGGUCUCUGAACUGUUUCUUUAGGCACUUGGAGUUUACCAACUCCAACAUCUGGACCAUAUAGUUAUAUUGAAG